AGGGAGGCAGUUAGAAACCUUGUAGCUGCCCUGAAGAGUUCCCAGAAUCCUCCCAGUCCUCCGGAUUCAGCCACCACUGAAAUCAUCUUGCAAUGGAUGCAGCCGGAGAUAUGUCGGACGGAGGAAAUCAAUGGGUGGAAGGGUGGACUCCUUCGGAGAGCUGCGAUUCUUCGGAAACAUCCUCAGAACAGGAACAGUUAAUUCAACCCCAGAUGUUUGAUGAUACAAAGAAACUGUGCGGAGAAUUAGUGCAGGAGAAUCUUUAUAAAGAUAAAUUGUAUCAGUCGAAUAACUGUGUCUGCCAGAGCUGUCCACUUGGAUACGCGAGAGCUGUCGCUCUCGGAGGGAGUGUAUCCAAUCUUUGUACACCCGGGAACUUUGCUGUUUCUUCGAAGAUCUAUGAUACCAGUCGGUUCGGCUGCGAUCUGGCGAAACGUAGGAGAAACAGGGGCAGGCUCGAAAGGGAGGACAGAUGCAAAUCUCAGAUGAAUUCUUUUCAUUAUCAUGGUUCUUGUUGUUGCUUGGUGCAACAGAAACUCCCAUUAGGAUGGAGUGACGGCCAGGAACGUUUAAUCAAACUGGAGGGUGAACGCAGUGCGCUGAGAAUGGAAGUCUCCGUGUUGUCUGAACAGGUCGACGCCCAGACGAGCAAGAUCCAUGAAUUAGAAGUCCAGUUAAGAGAAAAGAAGGACUCCCUGAGGAGAAUGGAAGAAGCAUUGCAGAAGGAAGUAUUGGCUAGGAGCGGAUUGGAGACGCAGAAACUGGAAUUGUUGAGCUCUCUGUCCGAGAUGAAGCUGAGGCAGGCGAAUCUCGAGCAUGAAAACCUUGCCCUGCGUAGCGCCAGCCCGGUUUCAAACGGUGAAAAGUUCUCGAGACACACGGGUCAAUACAGCAGCCUUCCGAGGCCCAGCAACUGUACGAAGAGAGGCGUUGCAUUCGGUAAGGCAAGCUUAACAGCUCGCUCAGGGCAAACAGGGACGAGAGUAAUCACUGUUCCGUUCACUGUCAGGGAGAGAUGUCUAUCCGCGCCCACUCUAGCUGACGAGGAGAAGACUAUAAUCAACGACAAUGCGCUUCAACCGGAGAUAAAGCCACUUGUAGAGCUUUCCAUGGAGGAGAUAGGAGACUGGCUAGGAAGCCUGAGCUUGGAAUGCUACGUCGGUGAACUGAGAAGGUGGGGAGCGACCGGAGCCAAGCUUCUAGACUCCACGCCUCAGCAAUUGGAGAAGGAAUUGGAAAUCAAGAACGUUUUGCAUCGAAAGAAGCUGCUCUACGCUAUCGAGUCUGAAAAGAACGACGGAGCCGAGUUCCUUGGGUCUGACAAGAUGGAUAAUGCUACGGUUUUGAGAUGGCUCGAUGAUAUCGGACUGCCUCAGCAUAAAGAGGCUUUCCUCAAUGGGAAGGUCGAUGGCAGAAUGCUUCAUCGGUUGACUACCGAAGACCUCUUUACGUUAGGAGUCACCGCGCAGUUACACGCGGCCAGCUUAAGAAGAGGAAUUCAAGUGUUACGCGAGUUGAACUUCGAGUUUGACAACCUUGAGAGGAGGUCGACGAACGGUAACGGUGCCGACGGUAGCAACGUUCGCUUAUGGACGAACCACAGGGUAAUGGAAUGGCUGCGAGUCGUCGACCUGGCCGAGUACGCACCGAACAUGAGAGGCUCCGGGGUCCACGGCGGAUUGAUGGUAUACGAAGGACGGUUCACCUCUGAGCUCCUAGCCACGCUGCUGAGUAUCUCGUCUGGUAAAACAUUGCUCAGAAGGCACUUGACUACGCAUUUCAAUCAGAUACUGGGAAGGGAAGUCGUGCAGAAGAAGAGGGAAAUCGAAGCCACUCUGGGAUUUGUCCCAUUGACCCUCACCGCGAGAUUAAAGGUGGCGAAGAAGUCUCAGUUUACGUUGAAGAGGAAGAAGAGUAAGAACGAGGCUGAUUAUGGGAACCUGGUCUGCCCUUUGGAGGCCAGCCCGCCAGGUACUCCGUUGUCACCAGGUUCUUCGAGCCCAGGCAGCCCUAACUUGUACUUCUCUUCAUCUCCAUUCUAACAAAUAAUCGGUAUCUCGGUUCGAAUUCAACGCGUACGCAAAACUAUCUAUCGUUUUACGUUUUCAGAGACAGAAGACAAUAAUCAGAGGAAAAUUAUCGGCUGCAUUUGAACAACGAAUAGAUAAAGAGAAAUAAUUGUCAUAUCGAAAGUGAAUUGUAAAUAACAAUACAUGACACGAGGUGGGACCAUUUUUUACCAUUUCAAACGUUCAUUCAUGAUUAUAGAUAAUCAAAUUAACAGUAAUAAGUAGCAAUAGGGACGAUAUUGUAAUGGUUUUAUAAAAUCUAUACAAAAUAUACAUUAAGAACGAUA